rnacentral:rRNA from 1 species
CCUACGGGUGGCAGCAGUGAGGAAUAUUGGUCAAUGGGCGUAAGCCUGAACCAGCCAAGUCGCGUGAGGGAUGAAGGUUCUAUGGAUCGUAAACCUCUUUUGUAAGGGAAUAAAGCGCGGGACGUGUCCCGGUCUGUAUGUAUCUUAUGAAUAAGCAUCGGCUAACUCCGUGCCAGCAGCCGCGGUAAUACGGAGGAUCCGAGCGUUAUCCGGAUUUAUUGGGUUUAAAGGGUGCGUAGGCGGCCUGUUAAGUCAGCGGUGAAAGUCUGUGGCUCAACCAUAGAAUUGCCGUUGAAACUGGUAGGCUUGAGUAUGUUUGAGGCAUGCGGAAUGCGUGGUGUAGCGGUGAAAUGCUUAGAUAUCACGCAGAACCCCGAUUGCGAAGGCAGCCUGCCAAGCCAUGACUGACGCUGAUGCACGAAAGCGUGGGGAUCGAACAGGAUUAGAUACCCUGGUAGUC